rnacentral:lncRNA from 1 species
AUACUCUUGCAAAAUUACAUUUUACAGAUGGAAAACUGAGGGAUAGAGAGAAUAAGGACUUUGCCUAAGACUGAACAGUUAAGGAGUGGGACAAGUUGGAGUUAUGUCCAGUACAUCAUGCUCUAGAGCCUGGGAAAAUGUGAAACCUCUGUUGGGAGGCAGCAGAUGGCUGAAAUUCUGAUGUGAUGUAGCUACUUAAUGCACGAUCUGAAAACCCCAGCAUUGGUGAUUUUGGGACAGGUCUAGAAUAUUCCAAUAAAUAUAUUAACAUACCAAGAAGUCCAGGAGCAACCACUGGGCAGAUACAAAACCUUACAUCCCUGGUGAUGUCUCUGAGCUGAACAGACAUGUCCUUGCAAAAGAGUUAUAUAACGGUGGUACGAUGGUGUCCCCUCGUGACAGAAGCUUUAACUACAGCUUGAAUAUCGUGUGA